AUUUCUAAUUUUCUAUCACCACGCUAUCUCUAAAAAAUAACCCUGACGUGCACGAUCAUAAUCGAUUUUGGUCGAUGAAGCAUAUGGUGACGAGUAGCAUCUCCUCUCCAAACUCGGUCACAAGUGCACACGAGAAACCAACCCUGAUGUGCCUGAAAAAGGAGCAUGUUCAGGUAAUGUUUUCGUCUUUAUUGCAUCUUUUUGUGCUUUGCUUUCCUCCGUAUUUCCCUUGCACUUCUUGAAAACCUAGAACCACCAUCGCCUAAUGCCACCGUCACCAACUAACCACCAUCUCAGAAGCCCCUCCCACAUCGCCUUUAAUCAACUUCAUAGAAAAAUCCCAUCACAUUCACUGCUUUUUUCUCUAAACGCUAGACAUCGUUGCCACUCCUCUUCUCUGUGAUUCCCCUAUCUCUUUCUCUCAAUCAAACAAUCUCAUCUGGUUUCAUUAUAAAGACUAUUUCAUAUUUUUGGGGUAUGUGUUGUCAAAAACAUCAACGUAUAUGUGCUAUUACAAACUUCAACGAGGUGGGAACCUAUUUUAAAACCAUCACAUCACAAACUCACCUGUAGAAACCCUAUACUUUACCACCAUCGCACCUCCUAAAAGCCUAGCCGCCGACCACCUAACGCAUCGCCUCUACAUCUCUCUAUUUGGCUUCCGAUCAGAGACACAUCACUGCCUCAUCACCAAGGUCUCUCUCUCUCUCUCUCUCUCUCUCUCUCUCUCUCUCUCUCUCUCUUAUCAUUUAUUUGUUUAGUAAGGCUUCAAGUUUUGUCAAUUUUAGUUUUUUUUUUAUUUGUGGGUAUUUUCUCAAAGAAAACCUGCAAAACGAAAGAAAUUGAAAAGAAUUGAACAAGUGUCCUGCAACAUUUGUUUGAUAACCGCAUGAUGGUUAGUUUUGUACUUUAAACAAGACUUCAUUACUGAUUUUAGUUUCUUUUGGAUCAUGGAUCUCUCUCGUCAUAUAAGUUUGUUGCUAUAUUGGAUAAAAAAACAAAGUAUUUUUUUCCCAAAUUGGCAGCAAAAAGAAAGUGUGUUGCUGCUUGGCACAUUUCACCUAAAAAAUAGGUUGACUGGUGUUGAUGUCGUCCAAAGUAAUAGCAAUAUCUACUCGGAUAAAAUGUUGUCAUAAAUAGUGAAAAAGACAACAUGUUGCUGAUUUGCUGUGAAGAAAGGAUGUGGAGUAAGAGGACCGACAUUUACAUCUGAG
rnacentral:lncRNA from 1 species